rnacentral:rRNA from 1 species
GGCGAACGGGUGAGUAACACGUGGGCAAUCUGCCCUUCACUCUGGGACAAGCCCUGGAAACGGGGUCUAAUACCGGAUAAUACUCCUGCCUGCAUGGGCGGGGGUUGAAAGCUCCGGCGGUGAAGGAUGAGCCCGCGGCCUAUCAGCUUGUUGGUGGGGUAAUGGCCCACCAAGGCGACGACGGGUAGCCGGCCUGAGAGGGCGACCGGCCACACUGGGACUGAGACACGGCCCAGACUCCUACGGGAGGCAGCAGUGGGGAAUAUUGCACAAUGGGCGAAAGCCUGAUGCAGCGACGCCGCGUGAGGGAUGACGGCCUUCGGGUUGUAAACCUCUUUCAGCAGGGAAGAAGCGAAAGUGACGGUACCUGCAGAAGAAGCGCCGGCUAACUACGUGCCAGCAGCCGCGGUAAUACGUAGGGCGCAAGCGUUGUCCGGAAUUAUUGGGCGUAAAGAGCUCGUAGGCGGCUUGUCACGUCGGAUGUG